UACAGAGGGGGCAAGCGUUAUUCGGAAUUAUUGGGCGUAAAGGGCGCGUAGGCGGCCUGGCAAGUGGAAGGUGAAAUCCCUCGGCUUAACCGAGGAACUGCCCUCCAAACUGCUUGGCUUGAGUCCGGGAGAGGUGAGUGGAAUUCCCAGUGUAGCGGUGAAAUGCGUAGAUAUUGGGAGGAACACCGGUGGCGAAGGCGGCAUCCUGGACCGACACUGACGCUGAGGAGCGAAAGCCAGGGGAGCAAACGGG
rnacentral:rRNA from 1 species